CAUAAAGAAGAGCCUUGAUCCCACCCAGCUCCCCACCUGGCGAAGGGCAGAGACUCACUCCUGCUAGCCCAAGGCAAGACAUGUUCUUGGAUAAGGUGGAGCCCACAGAAGCCGUCAUGGGGUGGGAGAGUUACUGAGGCUUAAGGGAGCUCCACGGUCUUUGGACCCCAAAGGGGUGGGGUUCCACUUGAGCUCUCAUUCUGUGACCUCCCCCUCAACCAUGUCUUCCACUCCCCGAUGGCCAUCCUGGGACCAGCCCUUCCUCCGGGAAGCCCUCGGAUGUCCCAUCGGCUCUGGCGACAGUGUGGGGCAGGAGUGAGUGUCUCAGAGCCGGGUCUAUCCUGGUCUGUCCACACUCCUGAGUCACCGUCUCCAAGAACAGGUCAUGGGGGUGGGAUGACACUGAUGUCUUGGUUCCAACACAUGCCCUAUCCUCAGGGCACAAGACUCUCAUUUGAGAGGCAGGGCUGCCACAUCUGAAAUGGCGGCAGCCAGCAUCACACGCUGUAUUCCCUGUCCUCACAGGGCCGUGAGGGCACGGAGCAGAGGAGGAUGGAUGCGGGUGAGCGUCCUCACAAAGAAGGUGAGUGUAUCACACAGGCUCCUGCAGCCACAACAUCCAAAGAAGGAGCUAAAAAAAGAGAAAGAUUUUAGAUUGGGCUUCAUUGAAAUUAAAAAUUUGUGCUGCAAAGGAUACCAUGAAGAAAGUGAAAAGACAACUCACGGAAUGGAAGAAAAUAUUUGCAAAUUACACAUCUGAUAAGAUACUUGUAUCCAGAAUGUAUAAAGAACUAUAACUCAGGCCAGGCGCGGUGGCUCAUGCCUGUAAUCCCAGCACUUUGGGAGGCUGAGAUGGGCGGAUCACGAGGUCAGGAGAUCAAGACCAUCCUGGCUAACACCGUGAAACCCUGUCUCUACUAAAUAUACAAAAAAUUAGCCAGGUGAGGUGGUGGGCGCCUGUAGUCCCAGCUACCCGGGAGGCUGAGGCAGGAGAAUGGGGUGAACCCAGGAGCUUGCAGUGAGCCGAGAUGGCGCCAAUGCACUCCGGCCUGGGCAACAGAAUGAGGCUCCGUCUCAAAAAAAAAAAAAAAAAGAACACCUAUAACUCAGUAAUAAAAGUGCAAAUUUUAAAAUGGGCAAAGCAUCUACCAAUAACUUGGAGCAAAAUAAAAUAAAAUAGGCAAGGGAUCUGAACAGGUAAUUCUCCAAAGAGGACAUAUAGAUGGCCAACAAGCGCUUGGAAAGAUGCUCAGCACCUCUCAUCAUCAGGGAGUGCAAAUCGCAACCUGACUGGAUGCCCCAACACCAGUGAGGACGCUGGACACCCCCACAUCAGCGAGGACGCUGGAUGCCCCCACACCGGCAAGGAUGCUGAAUGCUCCCACACUGGCGAGAACGCUGGAUGGACGCCCUCACACCGGCAAGGAUGCUGGACGCCCUCACACUGGUGAGGACACUGGAUGGACGCCCUCACACCGGUGAGGAGACUGGAUGGACACCCUCACACCGGCAAGGAUGCUGGACAGACGCCCCUUCACCAGCGAGGAUGCUGUCAUCAGAGAGACAGACAAAAAGAAGUGUCAAAGAAGAUGUGGAGAAACUGGAACCCCUGUAUGCUGCUGGUGGGAAGGAAGGAUGAUGCAGCCCCAGUGGAAACAGUUUGGCAGCUCCUUAAAAGGUAAAAUACGCAGUUACCAUAUGACCUGGCAGUUUUACUUUUCGGUAUAUACCCAAGAAAAUUGAAAACGUGUGUCACCCAAACACUUGUACGUGCAUGUUCAUCAUAGCCCCAAACUGGAAACACCCCACAUUUCAUCCACUGAUGAAUGGAUGAACAAAGUGUGCUCCAGCCACACAGUGGAAGAUUAACUGGACAGAAAUGGGACGAAAGCACCAAUGCACACUGCAACACGGAGGAACCUCAAAAACAGCACGCUGAGUGAAGGAAGCCAACACAGAAGAUCACAUAUCACAGAAUUAUAUUCACAGGAAAUCUCUGGAACUAAGAAAUCCAGGGAAACAGGAAACAGGUGAGUGGCUGCCAGGGGCUGAGGGCACUGUGGGGGAAGGGGGAGGGAGGGACGGCUAAUGAGUAUGGGCUUGCCCUCUUUCUUUCUUUCCUUCCUUCCUUCCUUCCUUCCUUCCUCUCCCUCUCUUCCUUUCUUCCCCCCCUCCCCUCCCCUUCCCUCCCCUCCUCCCUCUCCUCUCCUCUUUCCUUUCCCCUUUCCUGUCCUGUCCUUUCCCUUCCUUUUUUGAGAUAGGGUCUCACUCUGUCGCCCAGGCUGGAGUGCGGUGGUGCCAUCACAGCUCACUG
rnacentral:lncRNA from 1 species